UAAAACUUACAAUUUCGUUACCAGUAGCCAUAUAUCUCAAUCUUUUCAAAGAAAACCCAGAAACAGAAAAAGCUAACUUUGCUCAAAGAGAUGAUAAUCGGUUGAAACAGAAUUCAGAUAUGAAACUUCUUAGCAAAAGAUUGAGCUUUUAGUGAGGUGUAGCCUGAAGGGUGUCUGAAAUGGGAACUGAGGAAGGAUGUAACACGGCGGUGGACGGCGGUGUUGCCGGUGAACGAAAAAGGAAAGUGAGGCUAACAAAGAAGAUGAUGUUUUAAGCAAG
rnacentral:misc_RNA from 1 species